UUGUCUUCGCUUACGGAAUUUUUGUACAAUCACACAACGAAUUUUCCAACGUAAAAUUCUUUCUUGAGUGGGGAAAUGUCACGUACUCGUACUUGCUACUGAAGUAUUGAAGUGUAUGUUAGUUACAUUAUUUCUUAAUAGUAUUUGUUUGCUCGUUCGUUCAUUCGUUCGUAAGCGGCGUGUCGAGUCUUGUUUCUCGCCAGUUCCAUGAACCCUUUCGAAGCUGUUCGAAACUAACAAAGUAGCGCUCCGCUCAUGUCGAGGCAGUCAUUCGCUGGGCUUGGUGAUACAAGGUAGUCUCUUCUGAGGACUGAGAGCUGGUCACUCACCUCACGCCUGCCUUCCACUCCUCCCAUGGGCCGCACAUCAGCUGUUAGGGAAGUACGGGUGAUCGGACGCCAAAACCAGCACGAAUACAAGACCCGCCUUUGCCUUCCUGCUUUAGUUCCCCCCUGCCGUUGAGUGGCCUGAGAUUUGGUGCAGGUACCCAAGCCCCUUACAGAAGUCGGCGCGAGGGGCGAGGUUUGUUUGCUGUCAUGGCGCGAGGGGAGUGAAUGGUGCUGAAACUUGAAUUGGAACGAACAAUUUGAUAGUUUGCAGUGAUAAUCUUGGAAUGCGUAAGUCGGGAAGUGAGCUGAACCGACAAUCCAACGAGGGCAGACAGCAGAGGGGAGGGGUCCUGGACGCCCGCCUAUCUGGUCCGACCGUGACACAUUACCGGUGAGUGAAUAGCAACUCGAAUUCAGGGGACCCCGUGUCGUGCUCCUGUGAGGCAAGGGAGAUAAAUUCUUGCCAUUGUAAAACAUAAACGUUGGGAUUGUCACGGUUAGGCCAGGCGGCUUGUUACAGCCUCCCAUAU